CAGUGGUGGUAAUGGCAGGUUGGAGAAGAAUGAAUGGCCCUGGCAGAACUUAAGAGGACUGAUUGGAUAUGGCACUGGGAUGGUGGUGGGGACCAGAGACUUGAACCCAGGUCCUUGAGCAUUGUAGUGGGUGUGCUCAACCAGAGUCUAGAAUCCUGUGACUGGCCUGGGUGGUUCUGCAACUGCGCUGGAGGCUGGGGGAGGGCUCCCUGCCACUGGAAGCCUGACAUCAACUCAUCAGAGGGGAAGGAAGGGUCACUGACAUUUUGGGAUUCCUGGAACCUAGUGAACCAAGCAGUCAACUGGACUUGGUAGAUGGUUCUUGUUCAGGAUCUCUUGAGCAGAUGCACUCAGAGAAGCUGGAGCUGACAUUGCUUAGAAAUCUUCCUCACUCACAUGACACACUUUCCUGUUGCUUGUUGGCUUGUAGCUGCCACCCAGAUACCUACACAUCUCUUUUCUGUGUACCCUGGGCUUCCUCACAGUAUGGCAGCUGGGGUCCAGGUGUAAUCACUUAGGCUGGGGUGACAGCAUAAUGGUUAUGCAAAAAGAUUUUCA